UACGGAGGGUGCAAGCGUUAUCCGGAUUCACUGGGUUUAAAGGGUGCGUAGGUGGGCAGUUAAGUCAGAGGUGAAAUCUCCGGGCUCAACCCGGAAACUGCCAUUGAUACUAUCUGUCUUGAAUAUCGUGGAGGUAAGCGGAAUAUGUCAUGUAGCGGUGAAAUGCUUAGAUAUGACAUAGAACACCAAUUGCGAAGGCAGCUUACUACCCGAAUAUUGACACUGAGGCACGAAAGCGUGGGGAUCAAACAGG
rnacentral:rRNA from 1 species